AACUUUUCUACCCUUCGUUGGUAGUGUGGUGGUGAUAAAAUUUUAUUGUGUUUGUAUGCCUUUGUGUGAUGUGAUUGUAUUAUUAAUUAGUUUCGCUUACAAUCAAUUUUGAAUUUAACAUUUUUACCUUUUGGUUAUGAUAUUUAUGUUCUAAUUUUAAGAAAGUAUGGGAAUUUUUUCAGCUUCUCCAUUUGAAACUGAUGUUGAAAAAGCUACAAAUGAAAAGAAUGUAUCUGAAGAAUGGAGUGUUAUCAUGGAAAUUUGCGACAAAAUUCAGGAAUCGCCUCAAAAUUCAAAGGAAUACUUGAGGGCUAUUUUCAAACGCUUGAAUCACCAGGACCCUCAUAUUGUCAUGCAAGCUCUUUCUCUGCUAGAUGCGUGCGUGAACAACUGUGGAAAACCAUUUCACUUGGAGGUGGCGUCAAGAGAGUUUGAAGCCGAGUUUAAGAAGUUGGUCGGUAAAAGCCAGCCGAAAAUUGCUGAAAAGUUUAAAAGUCUUCUCAAAAAAUGGGCUGAAGGAGAAUUCAAAAAUGACACCCAAUUAACUCUUAUUCCUUCUUUAUAUGCUAAGCUGGUGAAGGAGGGCGUCGAUUUCUCUCAUGUCGAUGAAUCAAAGCCAAAACAAAGCCCACAGCUAAAGGAUCCCAAUGCUGUAUCUAGUCAAAAAGAAGUGGAAGAUAUUGCAAAAGCAAUCGAAUUGAGCUUACAAGAUACAACAAUAUCAUCUGUAACUAAAUCUGGUCCGAGCAGUAGUUCAAGCCUCUAUCCAUCGCCAAGUAUGGCAAAUUCAAACACAAGCACUGAAGGAAGGAAAGUGCGAGCUUUAUAUGACUUCGAAGCAGCCGAAGAAAAUGAGCUUACGUUUUCGGCAGGCGAAAUCAUUCAAGUAUUGGAUGACACAGAUAGCAGUUGGUGGGAGGGCUGCAAUCAAAGGGGAAGAGGGCUUUUCCCCUCAAACUUUGUGACAGAUGACCUAACUGUGGAACCAGAAAAUACAAGCCUGGAAAGUGAGGUAGUUGUUGAAGCCGUAGAAAUAGAUGUGAGUCUUGAAUCUACUUCAUCCAUGGCAGAAGUUAUUAGUCAUCACCCUCAGUUAGAUAUUACUGCAGCCGCUAGUUCUAUGCCUGGCUCACCUAGGCCCAAAACAUUGCCUUCUAGAAAAAGGCCAAAAUCAAUGAAAAAUAAGAUCGAAGCUCCUAGGUCACAAGAUAUUCCUAAUGAGGAAAAGAAGGUUUAUAGCAGAGAUAUUGACUUUCUGAACGAGAAGCAAAACGCUGAAUUGCUUUUAGUGAAAAUGAAACUUGAAACGGAAAAACUAAAACAGGAGUAUUAUAGACAAAACAAUUGUGAUGAAAGGAGGAGGGUGGAUGCAGUUGGAAUGGCGUUCCUAAAAGAAACCCAAAACGCCGAAAUGAUGUUGGCAAAAAUCAAAUUUGAAACUGCUAAACUUAUGCAAGAGUACAAUAAACAAAAUCCCUCUGAUGAAACGAAAAACGUAUGUACGAUGGUAACUGGAAUUCACAAAGAAAUGGAUAAUGCACAAACGAUGUUUGUUAAGAUAAAACUCGAAACGGAAAAGCUGAUGAAGAAAUUUUAUAAUAAAAUGAGAGCUGAAGAGGAUGAUUGAUGUAAUCAAAUUAUUUAGACUUCGAUUGCUGAAAUAUUCAAAAUAUUUCAUAAAUUAGUAUACAUACAGAAAAUUAAUAUAUAUUUUGACGAGAUACCUGCGCCUGGUGACAGGGAUCUAUUUUAUAUAUAAAUCUAUUAAUAUCAUUGAAAUCUUACAAUGCAAUUUUCAAGUAUAGUUCGAAACUACCGAGAUAGUUUCUAGUUAGUCAAAUUUAUACAUUUUAAAUGUAUAUUCAAGAGUAAUUUUGUUAGAAUGUAUAUUGCUAGAGCGGAAUGAAUGGAAAUAUUGAAUCAUCGAUUGAUGAUGAAUAUUAUAUUAAUAAUAUUGAUGAUGAAUAUUAUAUUAAUAAUAUCAGCUACAGUAUUGUGUGAAUUUUCAUAAUAUGCGAGAGAAGAUUAGCUAUUGUAACGCGAAGACUUGAGCUUUUCUAUGAGAAAUGUAAACACACCCAGAAAGAGUUUUAUUUAGACGUAUAUACCACAAACACAAGUGAAUCGGAUAAACUCCAUAUAUUUGAAUAAAGCAUUGAUACUUUGAAAGAAAAACUGAUAUUAAAAUAUCUUAUAUUUAUAAUUAAAGAAUAUGAAUUUGACUUACCCUACGAAUAGAGCUUAAACUCUAUGAAAUAUUGGAUGAGGAAGCUUGGGGACGGACCAGUUAUUGCUAAUAAAAACACCGCACAGUUGGUUAAUGGGAAAGCUAGAUGACGAUGAGACUAGAAGGCAUGGAUGAAUGGAAAGAUGCAGGAGUAUGGAGGACUACCUUAGGGAGGUGGUUGUCUGCCAGCUAGGAUCCAGAUGACUAUGGCAAAUUUGAAAAGAAGUCCGUCCAGUUCAAUGAAACUGUUCAAGUGAAGACAGUGAAAAAUUUGCAACCAGUAGAAAUCGAUGAGGCAAAAAUUGACAGGCUAUCCUAUUUAUUACAUGAGGCAGACCCGGAGGACGACGCUAAUGAUUCUGAACAAAUGCUAACGCUUGAGGAGGAAGUGAACGCUAUGGCUCCUCUAAUAGACACGGAGCUGGAGCGAGUGGACAAGAAGCAUGCCGUGUUGACGCAGCUGUCGUCGAAGCUUGUCGAGUCGCUCAACAUCUACUACACGCUCAUGCGCGACCACCAAUUCGCCAAGCAGCCCACUCUGCCCCCUCCCAGCCCUUUCCACCAAUCACCAGCGCCUCCGCAGGGUUUUAACGGCCCAGUAACAUAUUCACUUCCUCCGGAGCAGUACAUGAUGGGUCCCCCUCCCCCGGGGCCGCAGUACCCUUCCAUGGGACCACAGUCGCUGCCACCUAAUCAGCAGAUGUCAUUCCCUCAAAGCGGACUGCCUGAAUACUUGCCGCCGUUUCCUGGUGCUCAUUCGCAGCACAACAUGGCGGGUGGAUUCGCCGCCCCUGCUCCCACCCCCGGGCCACCUCCGACGUCUGCCAACUCAGUUGGCGCCCCCACCAACUCACAACAGUUGUGAUCGUCAGCAACGCUAUUGGCAAAUGUACAGUGAUGUGAAAAUGUGUAAAUAUAUUGAGGCUGUCUUAUCUGUCGAGUGUCAUGAUUUAUCAGAAAUUUUAUGCGCUGCUUUCAGUUGUCUUCAAUGCAGUGAUGUUACAUUUAUUGUUAAGGAGAUUACUCUUUACCUUCUCCAUGCUUAAGAAUCAAAUGAGCAUAAUUCAAUAAUGCUUGAAAUAUUCAGAUCCAUCGUUAUAAUAGAAUGAAAAUACAUUUUUGUACAGGAUUGACUAAAUCAUCUUUGAAACGAACAUUUUCCAUUUUCUUGAAUCACAGAAUUAUCAGGCAAACUAUUUCCAAGGAGUACUGAACGUUUCAUUGUUAUUUUUUUCAAAAAUUAUCUACUGACAUCUGUGAAAAAUUAUAAGAUAGGCCUAUACUAUAAUGUUGCUCUGUAUAAAGUACUGUUUAAUGAAUAAAAUUCCAAUUUCCACUAAACCUUAAAGUAGUAGUGCUUGUGAUUAAUAUUAUCGUAUUGAAUUGUAUAGCUUGAUCACGUCUGACCCUUUUUUGUUGAUAGUAUUUUCACCAAUCAAAAACAUGAUGUUUUAUUUGUUUCAUUUCUCGAUGAUUUGCAUAAUUUUAACUCUCGUCGGCGUCUUAGCACUCCAAAUUCAAUUUCAUAAUAUUUCGUAGACCGCUCUUUGCUCGUCUAACUCCUUACCAACACCUGCAUUGCAUUGCAUUCCUUCCACUGCCUGUGAGGUCAGACGAGGAAUGAGAGCCUUGUGACGAUCCAUGAUCAUUCGCAGAUAAAUGCGUAUGCAAAAUUGUCACAUUUUGUCCUCGAACUAAACACAUGAAACAAAAUUAUAUGAUUCGGCCUCCAAGAUCUGCUUUUUUGUGCUAUGAAAUCCCAAAAUCGACCUGCCUCUUCCCCGUGUCCGACAAUAUCUUCCAGUUCCUCUGAUGACUGUCUCUACUUCCCUAAUCCUUUUGUUCUGCUUCUCUAAUCUAUAGCAGCCUGAACACAGGAACAAUAGUAGCUUCCACUAGCUGCCGCGGUUAACGCGUAAUUGGAAAUGUCCGGAAAUCAAAUGUUCAUGACAUUUUCAUUUCCUAGUUCCCGUGGAAGCCACUAUCGUCUGUAUGUGCAGAACGUUAUGUUCUGUCCCUCUUCACAAUGAUUUCCCUAGUGAACUAGUUGAGUUCACCUUCAACUUUAAAAUUGUGCAAUUUAUCACUCUGGUAAUUUCACUACUUCAUCCUCAUACCAUUUUGUGAAUUCCGUAUAAGCUAAGUUUAUUCUCUGCGACUUUUGUGUGUACUUUAUCUCCUUCGAACAAGCAUUGUGCCGACACAUAUUUUAUAAUAAUUGAUAGAUGUUUAUUAUUGUUAAUUAAACAUGAUUUAAAUAUUAUAUAUUCUAUGAACAUAAUUCUAUAAUAUUUUUUAUUCAUUCAUUUAGAUCCCUUACAUCAGCACUUCUCCCUAAUUCUUUGAAAAUAAUUCGAUCAAUGCAGUUCCAUUAGAAUUUAGGUUGUAUUUUAAUACUGUUGUUCAUUUCAGUACGCGCUCAUAUUGUAUAACAAUGAAUAUUGAGCAUUGAAAUCAUUUUGUUUGUUAUCUAUUUUUAAGAAUAUAGUAUUGAAAAUAUAUAAUUAAUUUCCUUA